rnacentral:rRNA from 1 species
CCUACGGGAGACAGCAGUGGGGGAUAUUGCACAAUGGGGGAAACCCUGAUGCAGCGACGCCGCGUGUGGGAAGACGGUCCUCUGGAUUGUAAACCACUGUCCCCAGGGACGAAGAUGACGGUACCUGGGGAGGAAGCUCCGGCUAACUACGUGACAGCAGCCGCGGUAAUACGUAGGGAGCGAGCGUUGUACGGAAUUACUGGGUGUAAGGGGAGCUUAGGCGGGACUGCAAGUUGUGUGUCAAAUCUACCGGCUCAACCGGUAGCCGCACUCAAAACUGCAGUUCUUGAGUGAAGUAGAGGCAGGCGGAAUUCCUAGUGUAGCGGUGAAAUGCGUAGAUAUUAGGAGGAACACCAGUGGCGAAGGCGGCCUGCUGGGCUUUUACUGACGCUGAGGCUCGAAAGUGUGGGGAGCAAACAGGAUUAGAUACCCUGGUAGUC